CCAUGGCACGUGGCCUAUGGCCUAUGGAGCACUAGGUCCGGUCGAAAAAUCGAGGAUUGUGGGAAAUGCUCCGAGACUUUGGAGUCCCUUAACAUUUGUUGGAAUAGAAGUCCAUGCAAAAAUUGGGGUACAAAUUCAUUGUGUAGGCCAAGUUAUUGUCCUUCCCGCCUCUCGUCCCAUGGCACGUGGCCUAUGGCCUAUGGCCUAUGGAGCACUAGGUCCGGUCGAAAAAUCGAGGAUUGUUGGAAAUGCUCCGAGACUUUGGAGUCCCUUAACAUUUGUUGGAAUAGAAGUCCAUGCAAAAAUUGGGGUACAAAUUCAUUGUGUAGGCCAAGUUAUUGUCCUUCCCGCCUCUCGACCCAUGGCACGUGGCCUAUGGCCUAUGGAGCACUAGGUCCGGUCGAAAAAUCGAGGAUUGUGGGAAAUGCUCCGAGACUUUGGAGUCCCUUAACAUUUGUUGGAAUAGAAGUCCAUGCAAAAAUUGGGGUACAAAUUCAUUGUGUAGGCCAAGUUAUUGUCCUUCCCGCCUCUCGUCCCAUGGCACGUGGCCUAUGGCCUAUGGCCUAUGGAGCACUAGGUCCGGUCGAAAAAUCGAGGAUUGUGGGAAAUGCUCCGAGACUUUGGAGUCCCUUAACAUUUGUUGGAAUAGAAGUCCAUGCAAAAAUUGGGGUACAAAUUCAUUGUGUAGGCCAAGUUAUUGUCCUUCCCGCCUCUCGUCCCAUGGCACGUGGCCUAUGGCCUAUGGCCUAUGGAG